UACGAAGGGGGCUAGCGUUGUUCGGAUUUACUGGGCGUAAAGCGCACGUAGGCGGACUGGAAAGUUGGGGGUGAAAUCCCGGGGCUCAACCCCGGAACUGCCUUCAAAACUCCCAGUCUGGAGGUCGAGAGAGGUGAGUGGAAUUCCGAGUGUAGAGGUGAAAUUCGUAGAUAUUCGGAGGAACACCAGUGGCGAAGGCGGCUCACUGGCUCGAUACUGACGCUGAGGUGCGAAAGCGUGGGGAGCGAACAGG
rnacentral:rRNA from 1 species